rnacentral:rRNA from 1 species
CCUACGGGUUGCAGCAGGCGCGAAAACUUUACAAUGCUGGCAACAGCGAUAAGGGAACCUCGAGUGCCAGGUUACAAAUCUGGCUGUCGAGAUGCCUAAAAAGCAUUUCAUAGCAAGGGCCGGGCAAGACCGGUGCCAGCCGCCGCGGUAACACCGGCGGCUCGAGUGGUAACCGUUAUUAUUGGGUCUAAAGGGUCUGUAGCCGGCCGGAUAAGUCUCUUGAGAAAUCUGGCAGCUUAACUGUCAGGCUUUCAGGAGAUACUGUCUGGCUCGAGGCCGGGAGAGGUGAGAGGUACUUCAGGGGUAGGGGUGAAAUCUUGUAAUCCUUGAAGGACCACCAGUGGCGAAGGCGUCUCACCAGAACGGACCUGACGGCAAGGGACGAAAGCUAGGGGCACGAACCGGAUUAGAUACCCUAGUAGUC